rnacentral:lncRNA from 1 species
GGCUGCGCACUCGUACUCGCCGCCGUGGCUUCCCAUGGCGCCUGCCACGCUCAGGGUGCUGUUGUUGCUCGACAGGCCGAUGUUGAGGGCCCCCGGGGGCGCGCGCCAGCUGAUCUGGGCUGGAGGCCAGGCCUCCGCGCGGCAGGUCAACGUGAAGUUUCCGCCUGGGCGCACGCCUCCAGGGGGCGAGGCAGCAAGUUCCGCCACCACUGGCCGGUCUGAAGGGCACAGAAGGUGAAGUGGGGCUUAGCGCCGGCCCAGCCACUGAUCAAAUGCCCUGCUCCGGCCCACAACGAUCGAUGGGAGACCACCGCGCCUCUGAUGGGCAGAAGAGGAUCCUGCCUCCUAUCAGAGCCUCCUUCCCCGACAAUCAGGCUGCUGUUGCGGCUAAAAUUCCUCGCCCUUCUUCACCGAAUGGAAGGAGGUGAAGCCCAGGCUGGAAUUCCCUGUCCCCGAGAAUGGGAUUGGGAGAGGUGCCCUUGAAUGCUCCCACCGCUGCGAGUCAUUCUUCCGAGGACCGUGUCCCCUCCAUCCGGUGCUGCCCCCACUCACAUUCCACGCCCACAGUGACGGUCCGGGAGUCCGUGCCAUGCGCAUUGGUGGCCACACAGUGGUAAGUGCCCGCGUCCUCUCGGGACACGCGCUGCUGCUCAGGCCAUGGGAUGCCUUCCCGAGAGCAGCGCACUCCUGGGGAAGGGCGACCCCGGGCGGCGCAGGCCAGCGCGGAAGCCUCAGCCCCUUCCAGCCACGUCUGGUGACUUGGGCAGGUAGAUUCAUCCAUCUCCGGUGGCGCUGCAAAGCAGCCAUGGGGGAUGUCAGGGAGUGCCUGGACCGUGGGGCACCCCUGCUCCCUACCCGCCUGGGCCUCGCUCACACUCCGCGCUCACGACGACUGUUUUGGCCACGGAGCCGUGGCGGUUGGUGGCGUUGCAGACGUAGAUACCGG